rnacentral:lncRNA from 1 species
UUUAAAAAUAAAAAAUGUAGCAGAACUCACUGUGAUAAAACUAGAUAAAAAUGUAAGUGAUGUUUUGCACCUAGUUCCAUCGUAGGAGUUGUUUUCUACCUUGUUUUUAACAGAGUUGAUGAGAAUUAAUCUCUGAGUUGAGUAAAAAUCAAGGCAUAACAAGCAAAAUUAAAAACAACCUCAUUUUAAUGUAGGACACAUUAUGAAUGCAUUAGUAGGUCAAUGCUUAGACCUAUUUGUCUUUUGACUUACAGAUAUAAAUGGAGGACUUGGGACACACCUAACAGUUAAUGGCAAUGAAGUCCCCGUGACCAAGAGACCAUCCUCCUCCAGCAUUGCUCAUCCUAGAGAGAUAAGAGACCAUCCUCCUCCAGCAUUGCUCAUCCUAGAGAGAUAUUUCUAUCGGUUUAUCAGUGUCUUCUUUGAUAUUUCCAUCUGCCCUUAUUUGGCUUCAUUUUCUUUUAACCAGAGUAACCCUUGAUCAUCAAGACAGAAUCUCAAAAGAAUAGGUGUGUUUACUCACAACUCUGACUUAAGCUGUUUCAUUGUACAUUUUCUUUUCAGGACUGGUAACACAGUUUGGGCCAAAUGCUCUCACAGGUUUAGGUAAUUCUUUAUUCAGGAGUUUCCAGGACUUGAAGAACUUGUAGCAUGUACAAUCACUUUCCAGAAACAUUCGGG